AGUGAACGCUGGCGGUAGGCCUAACACAUGCAAGUCGAACGGCAGCACAGUAAGAGCUUGCUCUUACGGGUGGCGAGUGGCGGACGGGUGAGGAAUACAUCGGAAUCUACUUUUUCGUGGGGGAUAACGUAGGGAAACUUACGCUAAUACCGCAUACUACCUACGGGUGAAAGCAGGGGAUCUUCGGACCUUGCGCGAUUGAAUGAGCCGAUGUCGGAUUAGCUAGUUGGCGGGGUAAAGGCCCACCAAGGCGACGAUCCGUAGCUGGUCUGAGAGGAUGAUCAGCCACACUGGAACUGAGACACGGCCCAGACUCCUACGGGAGGCAGCAGUGGGGAAUAUUGGACAAUGGGCGCAAGCCUGAUCCAGCCAUACCGCGUGGGUGAAGAAGGCCUUCGGGUUGUAAAGCCCUUUUGUUGGGAAAGAAAAGCAGCAGGUUAAUACCCCGCUGUUCUGACGGUACCCAAAGAAUAAGCACCGGCUAACUUCGUG
rnacentral:rRNA from 1 species